AUUGAACGCUGGCGGAAUGCUUUACACAUGCAAGUCGAACGGCAGCACGGGUGCUUGCACCUGGUGGCGAGUGGCGAACGGGUGAGUAAUACAUCGGAACGUACCCAGUUGUGGGGGAUAACUAACCGAAAGGUUAGCUAAUACCGCAUACGACCUGAGGGUGAAAGCGGGGGACCGUAAGGCCUCGCGCAAUUGGAGCGGCCGAUGUCUGAUUAGCUAGUUGGGAGGGUAAAGGCCUACCAAGGCGACGAUCAGUAGCUGGUCUGAGAGGAUGAUCAGCCACACUGGAACUGGGACACGGUCCAGACUCCUACGGGAGGCAGCAGUGGGGAAUUUUGGACAAUGGGCGAAAGCCUGAUCCAGCCAUUCCGCGUGAGUGAAGAAGGCCUUCGGGUUGUAAAGCUCUUUCGGCAGGGAAGAAACGGCCUAGGUUAAUACCUUGGGCUAAUGACGGUACCUGAAGAAGAAGCACCGGCUAACUACGUGCCAGCCGCCGCGGUAA
rnacentral:rRNA from 1 species